rnacentral:rRNA from 1 species
ACAUAUUGUGAGCUUGAUGAGUAGGGCGGGACACGUGGUAUCCUGUCUGAAUAUGGGGGGACCAUCCUCCAAGGCUAAAUACUCCUGACUGACCGAUAGUGAACCAGUACCGUGAGGGAAAGGCGAAAAGAACCCCGGCGAGGGGAGUGAAAAAGAACCUGAAACCGUGUACGUACAAGCAGUGGGAGCACGCUUAGGCGUGUGACUGCGUACCUUUUGUAUAAUGGGUCAGCGACUUAUAUUCUGUAGCAAGGUUAACCGAAUAGGGGAGCCGAAGGGAAACCGAGUCUUAACUGGGCGUUAAGUUGCAGGGUAUAGACCCGAAACCCGGUGAUCUAGCCAUGGGCAGGUUGAAGGUUGGGUAACACUAACUGGAGGACCGAACCGACUAAUGUUGAAAAAUUAGCGGAUGACUUGUGGCUGGGGGUGAAAGGCCAAUCAAACCGGGAGAUAGCUGGUUCUCCCCGAAAGCUAUUUAGGUAGCGCCUCGUGAAUUCAUCUCCGGGGGUAGAGCACUGUUUCGGCAAGGGGGUCAUCCCGACUUACCAACCCGAUGCAAACUGCGAAUACCGGAGAAUGUUAUCACGGGAGACACACGGCGGGUGCUAACGUCCGUCGUGAAGAGGGAAACAACCCAGACCGCCAGCUAAGGUCCCAAAGUCAUGGUUAAGUGGGAAACGAUGUGGGAAGGCCCAGACAGCCAGGAUGUUGGCUUAGAAGCAGCCAUCAUUUAAAGAAAGCGUAAUAGCUCACUGGUCGAGUCGGCCUGCGCGGAAGAUGUAACGGGGCUAAACCAU